UACGUAGGGAGCAAGCGUUGUCCGGAUUUACUGGGUGUAAAGGGUGCGCAGGCGGAUUAGUAAGUCAGGGGUGAAAUCUCACGGCUCAACCGUGAAAUUGCCUUUGAUACUGCUAAUCUUGAGUUCGGGAGAGGUCGAUGGAAUUCCAGGUGUAGCGGUGAAAUGCGUAGAUAUCUGGAAGAACACCAGUAGCGAAGGCGGUCGACUGGCCCGUAACUGACGCUCAGGCACGAAAGCUGGGGAGCGAACAGGAUUAGAAACCCUAGUAGU
rnacentral:rRNA from 1 species